GCUGCCCAGCCCGUCCCCCACCCACUGGUGCUGGCGCGGGGACCCUCCCGGGAGAGGAAGAACCAGAGGCCGGGGGGCGGGGUGGGGGGCGAGGCCGAUGAGGGAAUUCCCCCUUGGAGGUGGGUCUGCAGGGCUGGGUGGGGAGCACACGGCAGCAAGGGGGCUGUGAGCCUGCUAACUGCCCCGGGCAGGGGCUGCUGGGGGUGCCUUGCAGAGACGCCAGCGGGCUUGGGGCUCGAAUGGGGGCUGGUGGCUAAGCCGAGACCUGGGCCGUGGGCCAGGCCCAGCCCCUGGAAGCCCUCCAGUGCCAGGCCAGGGUGGCAGCAGGGAGUCCCUGAAGGAUUUCGGGCCAGAAGGUAGCACGGUCAGGUCAUCAGCUUAGAAAGCUCACUGGGGGUGGAGGCAGGGAAAGGUCCUCCUGGAGUUGGCUGGUGGCCCUGUGAGCGUCUUGGGCGGGUUACCAAGGGCAGGGAGCUGUGCUGGGGGAUGCAGCCCGAUGACGUAGUGUUGACAACACAGGGGCUCAGGUGGGCCCCAUGCUGCACACAGGGGGCCUUUACUGCUGAAUCUCAGCCCCACCACUUGGCCAUUCCAUGACCUUGAAGAAAUUCCCUGACCUCUCUGCCUCAGUGUCCCAGUCUGUACAUUGGGAAGGGCGGCGUGCUACACAUGGCUGCCUCUUAGGAUUCAAAGAAGGCACGAGAAGCAUGUGGGGUGGUGGCCGUGGCAAAUGCCAGCAGGGACUCGGGUGCCUGUGUGAGCGCCACAGCGCCCUCUGCUGGCGCCCGCUGGGCCUCCUCUUGCUCUGCGCAGUCCGUCGCCCUUGAGAUGGUUCUUAGAACACCGUUCGCGUUCUCCACCCCGCAGUGGCUGAGCCCUUCGCCAUCCUUUGAAGACGCUUUCAGUUUACUGAGGCCAGUCCUGUGGCUUGAGCCCCGUUUACUCGAGACUAAGCCAGCACCGUCUCAGCCCCCACUCCCCGUGCUCUCUGAUUACGAGGUCACCUUGCUGCCUUUCAGGUCUGUGUGUAGCCUUCCAGAAGUGGACACAGGGCUCUGACGGGCGGAGGCGUAGUCGGAGGCUGCCCGGUGCCUCCGGAAAGCGUUCGCUUGCCUGAGGCUCCACUAGAAGCAGCUGCAGCACCUGCAGUGCGGGGUGGCCCCAGCCCGGGCUGCUGGUGGGAUGGUGCUCAGGGACAGCCACCAAGUUGGGAACAUGUAUGAACAUUGGAAGGGAAAGCCAGCCAAAGACAGCAGUGGUUUUUUUGUUUUGUUUUGUUUUUUUUAGGCCCAGACAGUUGGCUUCUGCAAAGCUCAGUUUUGAUCAAAUCAGUCAGAAUUAAGUCAUUAGGUCUUGUAGAAACAGGAAAACCUCACGGCUAACGGAGAAGCCAGAGAAGAGACGAGGGUUAGGGGACGGAUGAAAAGCAAAGACACUGGAAAAUCACACACAGGCCAGGCAGCACUCCGGCACUCAAGCCCCUGCAACCGCGGCCGGGAAGCCCCAUCUCGAGGCAAAGUGUGUUAGGAGCAGAAGUCGAGAGGGGGCGUUACUGUGGGCUGUGAGCGUGGGGGCGUGUCCCAUACUGCAGGGAUGGCAGCGGGGUGUUGCAGGCCGCUGGCACUCUUCCCUCCACCUUGUCACCUUUGUCAUGCCUGCCUGUCCGCUGGGUGGUGUGGCUACAGUUCCUGGUUCACUGCCUCCAAGUGGUGACACUGGGGAGGGAGGCCAGGAGGGACAGCUAUCCUCGCGAGACUGAAGCCCAUAGACUGAAGCCCAGCAGCAGCGGGAGCAGUGCACCUCCCCUUGCCCUCCUGUGCGCUUCCUGUUUGGGAAGAGACAGCUUCCCCGGUUUCCCGCUCCUUCCCCUGCACCGCGGGGCAGUGCUUUCAGAUAGACACGGAUUCUGCACGCUUCCCAGGGGAGCCCAUUCCAGCGUCACGCACACCACUUUGUUUUCAACCUGAAAACAGCUCUGGGAAGCAGGAGGCGCUGGCCAUGGGGUUCCAUGGGUUUGUGCAAAUGACCACCACUUGAGAGUCAGGGAGGCUGUCGUGUCCUGUUGGGUGGUAUGGGUGACUAAGCUGCUAGAGGGGGGCCUGAGACUCCCCCAGCAGGUCAGGACCAGCCUGCACACCCGAGAAUUAACCUGACCCAUCCAUGGCUCCACCGCCCCAUCAAAGUGAGUCCCCCAUACCAGUCUGUGCUCAGGCUGCUCAGCAGGGGUCCGUUUUGAUCCCUGUGCCCCGUCCAUGAGCAAACCCUGUGCUAAUUGGCAAGAGAACAUUCUCUUACUGCCCUCGCUGUCUCGAGAGAGGAAGCUGGGGUUAAGAAGCCUGUUGUGUACUCAGAAACCUAGGGGAGAGAGAAAUAUGAAUGGGAGGCUAUGGUGAUGGCUGGAACUGGGGGAGGAGCACAUGGCAUUCACGAGAACAUUCUCUCUAGCUAUGUUGAUGUUUCAAAAUGUCCAUCGUAAGAACUUUCACACA